rnacentral:lncRNA from 1 species
AUUUGGUGGGAAAAUGGGUGGCUAUGAAGAGAACUCUGAACAUUCAACAGUGAAACCAUUUCUUGAAUCUGUAAACUCCCCUUUCUUUGUUUGAGUGCAGAAGAUCAUGAAUGUGUGGGUGACGGUGGUUGCUGCCUUUGGGCCGCGUUGACGACAAUAUGUAGGUGGUAGUGGUGGCUGGCCUUUGGGUGGCAAUGUCGACAAUCGAUGUGGGUGGG